rnacentral:rRNA from 1 species
UACGUAGGGUGCAAGCGUUAAUCGGAAUUACUGGGCGUAAAGCGUGCGCAGGCGGUUAUGUAAGACAGAUGUGAAAUGCCCGGGCUUAACCUGGGAACUGCAUUUGUAACUGCAUGGCUAGAGUGUGUCAGAGGGGGGGUAGAAUUCCACGUGUAGCAGUGAAAUGCGUAGAUAUGUGGAGGAAUACCGAUGGCGAAGGCGGUUGCCUGGGGCUUUGCUGACGCUGAUGCGCGAAAGCGUGGGGAGCGAUCGG